AACGAACGCUGGCGGCAGGCUUAACACAUGCAAGUCGAACGCACCUUCCGGGGUGAGUGGCUGACGGGCGAGUAACGCGUGGGAAUCUACCCUACUCUACGGGAGAGCUCCGGGAAACUGGAAUUAAUACCGCAAACGUCCGGAGGGAGAAAGAUUUAUCGGGGGAGGAUGAGCCCGCGUUGGAUUAGCUAGUUGGUGGGGUAAAGGCCUACCAAGGCGACGAUCCAUAGCUGGUCUAAGAGGAUGAUCCGCCACAUUGGGACUGAGACACGGCCCAAACACCUACGGGAGGCAGCAGUGUGGUAUAUUGUACACUGGGCGCAAGCCUGAUCCCGCCAUGCCGCGUAAGUGAUGAAGGCCCUAGGAUUGUAAAUCUCUUUCAGUCGGGACGAUAAUGACGGUACCCACAGAAGAAGCCCCGGCUAACUUCGUG
rnacentral:rRNA from 1 species